CGAGGAUCCCACGGCGGUGUUCUGGGGGAAGGAGCUGAGGAUGGGCCCGGGCAGGGUGACCACCACGGGCGAGGGCUGGAUCACGUAGGUGGAGUCCUGGCACUGCCGCACGCAGGGCUCGUUGCAGCUGUUGGCCAGCGGGGUGGGGCCGCAGGGUGUGGGGGCGCAGAGGUCGUAGCAGGACAUGGCUGUGGGGGGGUGAGAGAUGUCCAAGCACCCACAGAAGGUGGAGAAAAGGUCACCACUCAUCAGAUCCAGUCCCCUCCACCCUCUGCAAGCCACAAAAAGCCUUUUUUGGGGGGCGAAUGUGGAUUAAUGGAGGCUGGGAAAGGAUACUUGGAGUAUUUAUUUAGAAUUUCUAUUCCAAGCAGCUCCUGAUUGCCAUAAAACUGGGCCUUUAAAUCCGCCACCAGGAAAUCCAGGUGGGUUUGAGUUCCUGCAGCAGAUGUUGCUGCAAAAUGAAGCUGCUUUUUCUGGAAAGACAUUUCCAGUAUCCUCCAAGCCAUGUCACCUUCUGCUUUACAAGUAAAUAAAGCCUUCCCUUUGGGUAGAAAGAAAUCUUUCUAAUUUCUUUUUAAGGUAAAACAAAAAAAAAACCAACAAACCAAAACAAACAAAACAAACAAAAAAAUGAAAAUUAAAAACCAAACAAAAAAAAGGCACUUAGAAAUAUUUAUAAAGGACUAUGAACACCCAACAAUAACAACAAAAAAAUAGAAUAAAAGCAGCCAUCAAAGCGACACUUUAGCAAUUAAAACGAGGUCCAGACUCACCUGUUCCCCGGGAGAAUGAGGCAGGAGAAGUGGAUGGAAAAGGUUUCUGUCCCAAGGCUUUUAUAGCACUGUCAGAGCCCUCUCCUACUCAUGGAAUUCCAUCAUCAUCCCUCCUUUUGCAUGCAAAACCCCCCGAACCGAUCGGAUCCUGCUGGUUGCGCGUUUCGAAAUCUCCCCUUUGGAAUUGCUCCCUUUUCCUGCCCCCUUUCCCAUUCCUGAGCUUUCAUCUUCACUGCUGUGCUCCUGAUUAAUUGCUGCGGAGGCUGUGGCGACUCGACUGAAUUACAGCAUUAAUUAAGUUGCCUCCCCAGGCCAGUGGGCAUUUUAGGCUUGGUUUUAAUCAUUAAGACACUGCUCCAGGGACGUGUUGUGAU
rnacentral:lncRNA from 1 species